GCUGCGGUAAUACGAAGGGGGCGAGCGUUGUUCGGAAUUACUGGGCGUAAAGGGCGCGUAGGCGGUCUUUUAAGUUAGGCGUGAAAGCCCCGGGCUCAACCCGGGAACUGCGCUUAAGACUGGAAGACUAGAAAACGGAAGAGGGUAGUGGAAUUCCCAGUGUAGAGGUGAAAUUCGUAGAUAUUGGGAAGAACACCAGUGGCGAAAGCGGCUACCUGGUCCGAUUUUGACGCUGAGGCGCGAAAGCGUGGGGAGCAAACAGGAUUAGAUACCCUGGUAGUCCACGCCGUAAACGAUGUCUGCUAGAUGUCGGGGGGUUGCCCCUCGGUGUCGCCGCUAACGCAUUAAGCAGACCGCCUGGGAAGUACGGUCGCAAGAUUAAAACUCAAAUGAAUUGACGGGGGCCCGCACAAGCGGUGGAGCAUGUGGUUUAAUUCGAUGCAACGCGAAGAACCUUACCUACUCUUGACAUACUAGAAACUUUUCAGAGAUGAAUUGGUGCCUUCGGGAAUCUAGAUACAGGUGCUGCAUGGCU
rnacentral:rRNA from 1 species